rnacentral:tRNA from 1 species
GGGGAUGUAGUUCAGUGGUAGAGCGCUUGAUUUGCAUGUAAGAGGCCCUGGGUCGAAUCCCCAACAUCUCCA